GAUGAACGCUAGCGAUAGGCUUAACACAUGCAAGUCGAGGGGCAGCAUGGUCUUAGCUUGCUAAGACUGAUGGCGACCGGCGCACGGGUGCGUAACGCGUAUGCAACUUGCCUCACAGAGGGGGAUAACCCGUCGAAAGACGGACUAAUACCGCGUACACUCCAUCUUGGGCAUCCAAGGUAGAGGAAAUGAAAUUCGCUGUGAGAUAGGCAUGCGUCCCAUUAGCUAGUUGGUGAGGUAACGGCUCACCAAGGCGACGAUGGGUAGGGGAACUGAGAGGGUGCACCCCCACACUGGUACUGAGACACGGACCAGACUCCUACGGGAGGCAGCAGUGAGGAAUAUUGGUCAAUGGGCGAGAGCCUGAACCAGCCAAGUCGCGUGAAGGAUGACUGUCUUAUGGAUUGUAAACUUCUUUUAUACGGGAAUAACAAGAGUCACGUGUGACUCCCUGCAUGUACCGUAUGAAUAAGCAUCGGCUAACUCCGUG
rnacentral:rRNA from 1 species